CCCAAUAUUCUCACCUCUUCCGCUUCCUUCUUUCCUUAAAUCCUAAAGGAAUACAAAUUUGCACAAUUCCUCCCUGCAAAAACUUCGAGUCUGUGAACGAAAUCAAUCAUUACAUUCGACGGUUUUGUGCUGAAAAGCAAAUCAAUUGUACCGACAUUGAAGCAAUUGUUAACAGAAACAUGAUGGAAGGGGAUGGCAUUCACUUAAAUGAACAAGGAUUGGAAGCGGUUUGGAACGCGGUAGCAACUAAUUAUAAUAAUAUUCUCAAUCCAUUACACAAUUUAAUUAUAAGUAAAACAGACCAUUAAUAUAAUAAAUUUCAUUCUUUAUCAAAAGUUUUUUUUUCUAUCAAAAAUCCACUCUCCAAAUCAUCCUAAAAUUUCAGA